CCUACGGGUGGCUGCAGUGAGGAAUAUUGGUCAAUGGACGCAAGUCUGAACCAGCCAUGCCGCGUGCAGGAAGACGGCUCUAUGAGUUGUAAACUGCUUUUGUACGAGGGUAAACGCAGAUACGCGUAUCUGUCUGAACGUAUCGUACGAAUAAGGAACGGCUAAUUCCGUGCCAGCAGCCGCGGUAAUACGGAGGAUCCAAGCGUUAUCCGGAUUUAUUGGGUUUAAAGGGUGCGUAGGCGGUCAGAUAAGUUAGAGGGGAAGACCCGGGGCGUAACUUAUGGAUUGCCUUUGAAACUGUUUGGCUUGAGAGUAGUAGAGGUAGGCGGAAUGUAUGGUGUAGCGGUGAAAUGCGUAGAGAUCA
rnacentral:rRNA from 1 species